CCAAUAGCGUAUAUUAAAGUUGUUGCAGUUAAAAAGCUCGUAGUUGAAUUUCGGGAUCAAUAUAUCGGUCAUGCUUAGGUAUGUACUGGUAUUAUUGAUUUCUCCCUUCUGAAGAACCAUAAUGUCAUUAAUUUGAUGUCAUGGGGAAUCAGGACUGUUACUUUGAAAAAAUUAGAGUGUUUAAAGCAGGCUUUCGCUUGAAUACAUUAGCAUGGAAUAAUGAAAUAGGACGUUUGAUUCUAUUUUGUUGGUUUCUAGGAUCGACGUAAUGAUUAAUAGGGAUAGUUGGGGGCAUUAGUAUUCAAUUGUCAGAGGUGAAAUUCUUGGAUUUAUUGAAGACUAACUACUGCGAAAGCAUUUGCCAAGGAUGUUUUCAUUAAUCAAGAACGAAAGUUAGGGGAUCGAAGACGAUCAGAUACCGUCGUAGUCUUAACCAUAAACUAUGCCGACUAGGGAUCGGAUGAUGUUAAUUUUUUAAUGACUCAUUCGGCGCCUUACG
rnacentral:rRNA from 1 species